rnacentral:rRNA from 1 species
UACGUAGGGUGCAAGCGUUAUCCGGAAUUAUUGGGCGUAAAGAGCGUGUAGGCGGCUAGGUAGGUCCGUUGUGAAAACUCGAGGCUCAACCUCGAGACGUCGAUGGAAACCAUCUGGCUAGAGUCCGGAAGAGGAGAGUGGAAUUCCUGGUGUAGCGGUGAAAUGCGCAGAUAUCAGGAAGAACACCCGUGGCGAAGGCGGCUCUCUGGUACGUGACUGACGCUGAGACGCGAAAGCGUGGGGAGCGAACAGG